AUACGGAGGAUCCGAGCGUUAUCCGGAUUUAUUGGGUUUAAAGGGAGCGUAGGUGGAUUGUUAAGUCAGUUGUGAAAGUUUGCGGCUCAACCGUAAAAUUGCAGUUGAAACUGGCAGUCUUGAGUACAGUAGAGGUGGGCGGAAUUCGUGGUGUAGCGGUGAAAUGCUUAGAUAUCACGAAGAACUCCGAUUGCGAAGGCAGCUCACUAGACUGUUACUGACACUGAUGCUCGAAAGUGUGGGUAUCAAACAGGAUUAGAUACCCUGGUAGUCCACACAGUAAACGAUGAAUACUCGCUGUUUGCGAUAUACAGUAAGCGGCCAAGCGAAAGCAUUAAGUAUUCCACCAGGGGAGUACGCCGGCAACGGUGAAACUCAAAUGAAUUGACGGGG
rnacentral:rRNA from 1 species